GGAUUGGGUGUCAGAGAUAACAGCUGGUGCCCCAGGGGCUGAACACCAGCACAUCCUGCAAGUCCUUCUCCACCCAGGAGGAGAGGAGAGGGUGGUUUUUGGCCAGCACCCGGUGCCCAAAGUCCCCGGGUGGAUCCACAGAGCUCCUGGUUCAGCCUGGGGAGGGCAGAGCUGAGGCUCUGGGGGUACCAGAGCCCCCUGGACCACGCCUGGGGAAGGGUAAGGAGUGACAAAUCCCAGAACAUCUUCACCAGAGCCAGACCCUCCGCAGCUGGAACACAACAGCAGCGUCAGCACUCUUCAGAAUUGAAAUUUUCCAAAUGUGCACUUAAUUUGGAAUUAAUGGGAUGAUUUUUUUUCCCCCCUAAGUUAAUUGAAAGGGGAAAAAAAAUGAUUAUUAAACACA